rnacentral:rRNA from 1 species
CCUACGGGAGGCAGCAGUGGGGAAUCUUGCGCAAUGGGCGAAAGCCUGACGCAGCAACGCCGCGUGCGGGAAGAAGGCUUUCGGGCUGUAAACCGCUUUCAGCGGGAACGAAAAUGACGGUACCUGCAGAAGAAGGAGCGGCCAACUAUGUGCCAGCAGCCGCGGUGAUACAUAGGCUUCAAGCGUUGUCCGGAUUUAUUGGGCGUAAAGAGUUCGUAGGCGGUCGAGUAAGUCGGGUGUGAAAAUUCUGGGCUCAACCCAGAGACGCCACCCGAUACUGCUUGACUUGAGUUCGAUAGGGGAGUGGGGAAUUCCUAGUGUAGCGGUGAAAUGCGCAGAUAUUAGGAGGAACACCGGUGGCGAAGGCGCCACUCUGGAUCGAUACUGACGCUGAGGAACGAAAGCAUGGGUAGCAAACAGGAUUAGAUACCCUGGUAGUCCAUGCCGUAAACGGUGGGCACUAGGUGUGGGUUUCUAUUAACGAAAUCCGCGCCGUCGCUAACGCAUUAAGUGCCCCGCCUGGGGAGUACGGUCGCAAGACUAAAACUCAAAGGAAUUGACGGNNGAGACGNGCGAGACGACACGAGGAGAG